CCAUGUAAAAACUUCUUCCAGAAGAGGUGUCGCAUUGCGGAACGUCGUUUGGACUCGGCUGUAAAAGGAGGCCCUGAUUCAAGUUCGCAUAAACGUUAAAGACAAUGCGCCUCCGAAAUGCAUAGACUAACGGCGAGUGCAAUUUCCAUUAUUGCAGGCGGUGGAAGAUGAACUUGAUAAUCAGGUGAUGUAUGGUUUGCCAAAGAAAGUAGAGCGCAGUGAGUGGGCCACACCGAUUGUGGUAGUAAGAAAGAAAGACAAUAAAGUACGAAUCUGCGGGGAUUAUAAGAUAACAAUCAAUCCUGUAUUAGUAGUUGAUAAACAUCCAUUGCCAACUAUAGCCUGUGGCAAAGAUUGAUGGAACAAGUGUUGGCCGACAUUGCUGGUGUUAAAGUGUUUUUGGACGAAAUGAAGGUGACAGCCAGAGAUGACAUUUUUCAUUUGGAGCGGUUGGAAGAAGUACUAAAAAGAUUGGACACGUACAACGUGAAUGUAAAUCUGAUUCCUUUUUGCCCACCCUAUUCACACAUUUACUAAGUGGUAGCCUGCACAACAUAUGAAUGGAUUCCGUGAAAUGUUUCAACGUUUCGAUUUUGCAACAAAACAGUCCUUACAAAAAUUUCCGCGAGAAAAAGAAUAAACUCAUUCGAAAUUAAAGUGGUAUGGCACAAAGAAAAUCAGGCAAAAAGUGAACACCCCCCCCAAAAAAACCUAACCGGAAACAAGUUCUGGCAUUAACAAGUACUCCGAAAACCAGUCAACAGCUGUGGGGAAAAGAAUAGCAAUCAAGACCAAAAGGUUUAACAGCGCAAUUUUAGAUAUGUGAGCGACCCAUUGUUGUACUUUUUGGAACUCACAGCACAUCUUAACCACUUGGUAUCCAACACCCCUACUUUGAAAAAGGGCGAAGGAAUAUGUCAAAGAUGGAAAACCACGCCAAUGUUAAAUUACAAG
rnacentral:sRNA from 1 species